rnacentral:rRNA from 1 species
GACGAACGCUGGCGGCGUGCUUAAUACAUGCAAGUGGAGCGACGAAGGGGCUUCGGCCCCGGCAAAGCCGCGAACGGGUGAGUAACACGUGGGUCACCUGCCUCGAUGACCGGGACAACCUGAGGAAACUCGGGCUAAUACCGGAUGUGCCCGCAAGGGGAAAGGAAGCUUCGGCCUCCGCAUCGAGAUGGGCCCGCGGCGCAUUAGCUUGUUGGUGGGGUAACGGCCUACCAAGGCGACGAUGCGUAGCUGGUCUGAGAGGACGAUCAGCCACACUGGGACUGAGACACGGCCCAGACUCCUACGGGAGGCAGCAGUAGGGAAUCUUGCACAAUGCGCGAAAGCGUGAUGCAGCAACGCCGCGUGCGGGAAGAAGGCCUUCGGGUUGUAAACCGCUUUCAGUUGGGACGAAGGUCCGCGCGUGAAUAGCGUGGCGGGCUGACGGUACCUUCACAAGAAGCCCCGGCUAACUACGUGCCAGCCGCCGCC